rnacentral:rRNA from 1 species
GACGAACGCUGGCGGCGUGCUUAACACAUGCAAGUCGAACGGAAAGGCCCUGCUUUUGUGGGGUGCUCGAGUGGCGAACGGGUGAGUAACACAUGAGUAACCUGCCCUUGACUUUGGGAUAACUUCAGGAAACUGGGGCUAAUACCGGAUAGGAGCUCCUGCUGCAUGGUGGGGGUUGGAAAGUUUCGGCGGUUGGGGAUGGACUCGCGGCUUAUCAGCUUGUUGGUGGGGUAGUGGCUUACCAAGGCUUUGACGGGUAGCCGGCCUGAGAGGGUGACCGGCCACAUUGGGACUGAGAUACGGCCCAGACUCCUACGGGGGGCAGCAGUGGGGAAUAUUGCACAAUGGGCGGAAGCCUGAUGCAGCAACGCCGCGUGCGGGAUGACGGCCUUCGGGUUGUAAACCGCUUUCGCCUGUGACGAAGCGUGAGUGACGGUAAUGGGUAAAGAAGCACCGGCUAACUACGUG